UGAGGUCAAGCUGGAUCACACAAGACCACCC
rnacentral:piRNA from 1 species